rnacentral:rRNA from 1 species
UACGUAGGGCGCAAGCGUUGUCCGGAAUUAUUUGGGCGGUAAAGAGCUCGUAGGCGGCUUGUCACGAUCGGGUGUGGAAAGCCCCGGGGCUUAACCCCCGGGUCUUGCAUUCGAUACGGGGCAGGCUAGAGUGUGGUAGGGGAGAUCGGAAUUCCUGGUGUAGCGGUGAAAUGCGCAGAUAUCAGGAGGAACACCGGUGGCGAAGGCGGGUCUCUGGGCCGAUACUGACGCUGGAGGAGCGAAAGCGUGGGGAGCGAACAGG